rnacentral:rRNA from 1 species
AUUGAACGCUGGCGGAAUGCUUUACACAUGCAAGUCGAACGGCAGCACGGGAGCUUGCUCCUGGUGGCGAGUGGCGAACGGGUGAGUAACAUAUCGGAACGUACCCCGUCGUGGGGGAUAACUAUCCGAAAGGAUAGCUAAUACCGCAUACGUCCUGAGGGAGAAAGCGGGGGAUCGCAAGACCUCGCGCGAUUGGAGCGGCCGAUAUUGGAUUAGCUAGUUGGUGGGGUAAAGGCUCACCAAGGCGACGAUCCGUAGCGGGUUUGAGAGGACGACCCGCCCCCCUGGAAAUGAGACACGGUCCCGACUCCUACGGGAGGCAGCAGUGGGGAAUUUUGGACAAUGGGGGCAACCCUGAUCCAGCCCUUCCGCGUGAGUGAAGAAGGCCUUCGGGUUGUAAAGCUCUUUCAGCAGGAACGAAACGGUCGGCUUUAAUAAAGUCGGCUAAUGACGGUACCUGCAGAAGAAGCACCGGCUAACUACGUG